CACAGGUGAGCCUGGAUUUGUGAAGACCUUCCGGAUGACUUGUGAAGACCAUGAAUAAACUUCAUUCAACAGUGUUCUGCUGAAUCUGUAGCUGUGAACUGGACCAGGAGGAGAGGUGGUAGUUAACACCUGGGGCUGGAGGGGCUGUUACCAUGCUACUUCCUUAGAAAAUAAACUGGUUCCCAAACACAGUGUCUAAACUCUGGUGUCCAAACACCCAGCGCGCCCUAGACCUUCUGUCUGAUGACCAACUAGGGUCACCCAGCCACAUAAUAAUACACACAGGCACAAAUUACCUGAGAACACACCAGGAAAGGGUGACCACAGCACUCAAGGGAAUGAUUGAAAAGCUUCUUCUACACCCUGCUACCACGAAAAGACUUCCACCCUGCUACCAUACAGCGGGUAAACGCCAGUAUUUCCCGUGACUGUGCCUCAAAACCAAAUGUCUACCUGGCCCACCACUCCACCCUGGACUUGAACAGUGACCAGGUCCACCUUCGCCCGGAUUCUAAAGGACAUGGCACUCAACCGCAGCCCCAACACCUCACACAGGACUAACAGAGCGUACUAGUCUGUGGCAACUUAAAUGCCAGAACUGGACAAGAACCUGACAUCCUCAGCACAGUGACAGCAUUCCCUCCCCCAUAUGCCCCCCCUAGGCACAACGACGACAACAUAACCAACAAAAACGCUGGGUAUGUACAUAGUUAAUGGUAGGCUUCGAGGGGACUCCUAUGGUAGGUACACCUAUAGCUCAUCUCUUGGCAGAAGUACUGUAGACUACUUUAUCACUGACCUCAACCCAGAGUCUCUCAGUGUUCACAGUCCGUCCACUGACACCCCUAUCAGAUCACAGAAAAAUCACAGUCUACUGAACAGAGCAAUACUCAAUCAUGAGGAGAGAGAGAGAGAGAGAGAGAGAGAGAGAGAGAGAGUAGAGAGGUGAGAGAGAGAGAGGAGUAAGUGAGAGAGAGAGAGGAGAGAGAGAGAGGAGAGAGGCGAGAGAGAGGAGUAAGAGAGAGAGAGAGAUAGAGAGGGAGAGGAGUGUGUGUGAGAGAGAGGGAGAGAUAGAGAGAGAGGAGAGAGGCGAGAGAGAGGAGUGAGGCGAGAGAGAGGAGUGAGAGAGAGAGAGAGAAAUAGAGACAGACUGACAGAGCCCAUGUUCUCUGUGCUCUGUUAAUGAGGGUUAACAUUACACAGGGAAAUCUAUUCCCAUUCAUAAAUCAGCAGGUCAGCAGGUCGUAAGGUCUUUCAUUACCCUCCUCAGUUCAGUGCCAUCGCAUUGCAUUCAAACCAGGUAUAAAUUAUCAGUCAUCUAUGUAGCAUAGUCUACACUGCAACAAUAUGCCUCUCCAAACAUGUGAAGUGUUUUCAAAUUAUACAUUCCCCUUUUUAGUUGAAACCUCAAUAGCCAAACUCUAAAUUAUAUAUUUUGUCAAUUUAUCAUGGUUACUAUUAUUAAAAAACACAAAUUAAAUAUGA